AUGCGGCCGGGGGGCGCGCUGCUGGCCCUGCUCGCCAGCCUCCUGCUGCUGCUGCUGCUGCGCCUGCUCUGCUGCUCCACCGACGCGCCCGCCCGCUCCAGGUACCCCCGCCCCCGCCUUCCGCGCCCCCGGCCCCCGGCCCCCGCCGCCCGGCCGCCCCGCUCCGGGCGCGGACUUCGGGCCGCAGCGCGGGGAAGCCGACGGAAGGCGGUCGCGCGAAGCCGGGCCGGGAAGGGGCGGCGGGCGGGGGGUGCGGGGCGUCCAGGAGGCGGGCCGGGCCGGGCGGCGGCGACCGAGGGGCGGCCCUCGGCCCGGGUGGGCUCCGGCGGCCGUCGCUGCGGAGCGGGCCCUGCCGUCGGGUCCGCAGCCGUGUCCCGGGCGCGCCGUCCAGCGCCGGGCUCUGCCUGCCUUCCCGCCCUGAGCUGCCUUCAAACUCGGGGGCCUGGGGGUGCCGCGGGGCCCGGGGCGGGGACGCCCGCAGGUGCGAGCCGGCCGGCGACCGGUGACAACUUAGUUUCUCUUCCCGGCUGUGCAGGCUCUCGGCGGAGCGGAGCAGGGACGGCCCCCGCGGCACCCCCGCCGCGCCGAGGACGCUGCGGAGCCCCGCCACCCAGCUGCCGCGCCCCGCCAACAGGUACCGCGGCGGCGGCCGGACGGGGGGCGGGGGCCCGGGCGCGGGGGGCUCGCUCGGAGCUCAGUGCCCGCCGGCACCGGCUGUGGGCCCCGGACGGCGCCAUCGAGCGCGCUCGGGAGUCCGGGUGGGCGUGCGAGCGUGUGUGUGUGUGUGUGUGUGUGUGCCGGUCCUCACGCUGCCUCAGCCUCCCUUGUGUGUGUCCCUCCUCACGCUGCCUCAGCCUCCCUUGUGUGUGUCCCUCCUCACGCUGCCUCAGCCUCCCGUGUGUGUGUCCCUCCUCACGCUGCCUCAGCUUCCCUUGUGUGUGUGUGUGUGUGUCCGUCCUCACGCUGCCUCAGCCUCCCUUGUGUGUGUGUGUCCGUCCUCACACUGCCUCAGCCUCCCGUAUGUGUGUCCCUCCUCACGCUGCCUCAGCCUCCCUUGUGUGUGUGUGUGUGUCCGUCCUCACGCUGCCUCAGCCUCCCCUUUGUGUGUGUGUGUGUGUCAGUCCUCACGCUGCCUCAGCCUCCCUUGUGUGUGUCCCUCCUCACGCUGCCUCAGCCUCCCUUGUGUGUGUCCCUCCUCACGCUGCCUCAGCUUCCCUUGUGUGUGUGUGUGUGUGUGUCCGUCCUCACGCUGCCUCAGCCUCCCUUGUGUGUGUGUGUCCGUCCUCACACUGCCUCAGCCUCCCGUAUGUGUGUCCCUCCUCACGCUGCCUCAGCCUCCCUUGUGUGUGUGUGUGUGUCGGUCCUCACGCUGCCUCAGCCUCCCUUGUGUGUGUGUGUGUGUCCGUCCUCACGCUGCCUCAGCCUCCCCUUUGUGUGUGUGUGUGUGUCAGUCCUCACGCUGCCUCAGCCUCCCUUGUGUGUGUCCCUCCUCACGCUGCCUCAGCCUCCCUUGUGUGUGUCCCUCCUCACGCUGCCUCAGCCUCCCGUGUGUGUGUCCCUCCUCACGCUGCCUCAGCUUCCCUUGUGUGUGUGUGUGUGUCCGUCCUCACGCUGCCUCAGCCUCCCCUGUGUGUGUGUGUGUGUCGGUCCUCACGCUGCCUCAGCCUCCCCUGUGUGUGUGUGUGUGUCGGUCCUCACGCUGCCUCAGCCUCCCCUGUGUGUGUGCGUGUGUCCGUCCUCACGCUGCCUCAGCCUCCCCUGUGUGUGUGUGUGUGUGUGUGUGUGUGUCGGUCCUCACGCUGCCUCAGCCUCCCCUGUGUGUGUGUGUGUGUCGGUCCUCACGCUGCCUCAGCCUCCCCUGUGUGUGUGCGUGUGUGUGUGUGUGUGUCGGUCCUCACGCUGCCUCAGCCUCCCCUGUGUGUGUGUGCGUGUGUGUGUGUGUCGGUCCUCACGUUGCCUCAGCCUCCCCUGUGUGCGUGUGUGUGUGUGUGUCGGUCCUCACGCUGCCUCAGCCUCCCCUGUGUGUGUGUGUGUGUGUCCGUCCUCACGCUGCCUCAACCUCCCUGA
rnacentral:lncRNA from 1 species